rnacentral:tRNA from 1 species
UAGUAGUUAGUUUAAAUAAAACAAAUGAUUUCGACUCAUUAAUUUAUGCUAACCCCAUAACUGCUAA